UACGUAGGGCGCAAGCGUUGUCCGGAAUUAUUGGGCGUAAAGAGCUCGUAGGCGGCUUGUCACGUCGGGUGUGAAAGCUUGGGGCUUAACCCCGGGUCUGCAUUCGAUACGGGCUGGCUGGAGUGUGGUAGGGGAGAUCGGAAUUCCUGGUGUAGCGGUGAAAUGCGCAGAUAUCAGGAGGAACACCGGUGGCGAAGGCGGAUCUCUGGGCCAUUACUGACGCUGAGGAGCGAAAGCAUGGGGAGCGAACAGG
rnacentral:rRNA from 1 species